CUUGAGCAACAGCCUCUUGUGCAGCCAAAAAUGCGAGCAAUUCUUCUGGAUUGGUUUAUGGAGGUGUGUGAAGGCUAUAAGCUUCACAGGGACGCCUUUUACUUGACACAAAAUUUCUUUGACUGGUAUAUGGCGACACAAGAAAAUGUCGUAAAAACUCUUUUGCAGCUUAUUGGGAUUUCAUCUUUAUUUAUAGCAGCCAAACUUGAGGAAAUCUAUCCUCCAAAGUUGCACCGGUUUGCGUAUGUGACAGACGGAGCGUGUUCAGGAGAUGAAGUUUUUACCAUGGAAUUAAUGAUUAUGAAGGCCCUUACGUGGGGUUCAAGUCCCCUGACUAUUGUGUCCUGGCUGAAUGUAUACAUGCAGGUUGCAUAUCUAAGUGACAUCCGUGACGUGCUACUGCCGCAGUAUCCCCAGCAAACCUUUAUACACAUUGCAGAACUGUUGGAUCUCUGUGUCCUGCAUGUCGACUGCCUCGAAUUUCCUUACCGUAUACUUGCUGCUUUGGCCGUGUAUCAUUUCUCUUCAUCUGAAUUGAUGCAAAAGGUUUCAGGAUAUGAAUGGCGUGACAUAGAGAACUGUGCCAAGUGGAUGGUUCCAUUUGCCAUGGUUAUAAGGAAGAUGGGGACCUCAAAACUGAAGCACUUCAGGGGCAUCGCUGAUGAAGAUGUGCCUAACAUACAGACCCACAGAGACAGCUUGGAUUUGCUGGACAAAGCCCAAGCCAAGAAGGCCAUGUUGUCUGAACAAAACAGGGCUUCUCCUCUCCCCAGUGGGCUCCUCACCCCUACACAGAGCAGUAAGAAGCAGAGCAAUGGACCGGAAAUGGCAUGACACCCCAGCCUUCACCAAAGACAGUCACGCGGAAGCACCUGCCCCACGUUCUCUUCUGUCCUCUGCAGCGGAGGCGUGAGUUCGCUUUUACAGACAUCUAAAUGGCAGAGUGUUUCUUCCACAGCAGAUGUAUUUCUGUGGAUGGCAUCAGACAGGGCAAAGUAUUUUUUACUGAAUGCUUAUAGGUUUUUUUUAAUAAGUGGGUCAAGUACACCAGCCACCUCCAGACACCAGUGCGUGCUCCCGAUGCUGCUAUGGAAGGUGCUACUUGACCUGAGGGACUCACGACAACAAAAGCUUGAAGCUGCGGAGGGCCACGGUGGCGUGGCUCUCCCCGUGGGGUGCUCUGGGCUGCACUGUACCAAGUGGAGCAGGUGGUUGUGGGCAAGCGUCAUGCAGAGCCCACAGCCAGCUGAGCAGGGCGCUACCCUCUCCACACUAUCUGGAGUUGACAAUGUUGUACAACGCCUUUAAUGAACUCUGUUUUGUAACUGCUGCUAUAUGUAUCCAUUUUUUAAUAAAGACAAUACCAUCUUUGAGACAAAAA